UACGGAGGGUGCAAGCGUUAUCCGGAUUCACUGGGUUUAAAGGGUGCGUAGGUGGGCAGGUAAGUCAGUGGUGAAAUCUCCGAGCUUAACUCGGAAACUGCCAUUGAUACUAUCUGUCUUGAAUUUCCUGGAGGUAAGCGGAAUAUGUCAUGUAGCGGUGAAAUGCUUAGAUAUGACAUAGAACACCUAUUGCGAAGGCAGCUUACUACGGGACAAUUGACACUGAUGCACGAAAGCGUGGGGAUCAAACAGG
rnacentral:rRNA from 1 species